UUGCUUAACAGCAUGUAUACUACAAUUGGAACAAUACAGAGAAGAUUAGCAUGGCCCCAGCACAAAGAUAAAAUGUGAUUUUUUUCCAUAUUUUU
ensembl:snRNA U6 U6 spliceosomal RNA